rnacentral:rRNA from 1 species
UACGGAGGAGGCAAGCGUUAUCCGGAAUUACUGGGCGUAAAGCGCGUGUAGGCUGCUUUGCAAGUCGGAUGUGAAAGCCCCGGGCUCAACCUGGGAAGUGCACUCGAAACUGCAGAGCUCGAGUCCUGGAGAGGAAGGCGGAAUUCUCGGUGUAGAGGUGAAAUUCGUAGAUAUCGAGAGGAACACCGGUGGCGAAGGCGGCCUUCUGGACAGUGACUGACGCUGAGACGCGAAAGCGUGGGGAGCAAACAGG